rnacentral:lncRNA from 1 species
UGCUAUCUGCCUGCCUCUCUCUCUUUUUAUGAUUUUCUUUGUUUUAUCACACAGGGAAUAUGCAAAUGCAUUUUCAUUGUAAGAAGUUGAAACAAUGCAGGAGAUUACAAAGUAAAAUGUGAACACCAUAUUGCAACUCGCCACCCCCAUUCCACUUUCCUCCACCCUGGUAAAACCACUGCCUGCCAUUUGGUAUGCGACAUUCACUCCUAUUCCACGCAUUUACAAGGAGAAAUCUAUUCAGAGAACAGAUGUGGUAGUGGGAGUCAGCUUCCAGCAGGUGAUGCAGAGUGCUGAGACAGAUGACGACAGGCUGGGCUUCAGUUCCCUCACCUGGAGAGUGAUGAGAACACCAGCGCAAAAUUCCAGGGCCAUUGGGAAGAUGGAAUGAAAUAGUACAUGUAAUGGCUCGCAUCCAUAGUGCCUGGAACAUAACAAAUGCUCGUAAAGGAACAGAUUGCUCAAAAAUCAGACGACUGUUGGGUGAAAUGCGAGUGGGGAAAGGAGUGAGAUGAAGGGAACAGAGCCCUUCCAAACUCGCCCUUCAGCCUUCCUACCCAAUCAGAAAGGAAAUCAGUCAUGCCCACAAUCCUGCCAAUAACACAGUGUAGCGGCUGCAUUCUUUGGACCAAUGACAGUGAGCUGUAGAAGAAAUCUCAUUUGGAGAAGAGAUGGGGGCUUGUGUUUACUGAACAUCUACUACGAAUCAGGCCCUGUGCUUUUUUUUGCAUCUGUUCUCUUCUAAAGGGGAAUCAGGAUCCUGGCUGAGGGACCCUGGACUAUUUCACCUUUCAGGAUCUCAGUUUCUUUAGACCAAAAACACUAACUCUUAUUUUUUUGUUGCACUUUUUUAAAAAAAAUUAAACUUUAAGUUCUGGGGUACAUGUGCAGAAUGUGCAGGUUUGUUACAUAGGUAUACAAGUGCCAUGGUGGUUUGCUGCACCCAUCAACCCAUCAUCUACACUAGAUAUUUCAACUGAUGCUAUCCCUCCCCUAGCCCCCCAACCCCAAGACAGGCCCCAGUGUGUGAUGUUCCCUUCCCUGUGUCCAUGUGUUCUCAUUGUUCAGCUCCCACUUAUGAGUGAGAACAUGUGGUGUUUGGUUUUCUGUUCUUGUGUUAAUUUGCUGAGAAAGAUGGUUUCCAGCUUCAUCCAUGUCCCUGCAAAGGACAUGAACUCAUCCUUUUUAAUGGCUGCAUAGUAUUCCAUGGUGCAUAUCUGCCACAUUUUCUUUAUCCAGUCUAUCAUUGAUAGGCAUAAUUCCUAUUCUUUAAAAAAUUUUUUUUUGUAGAGAUGGGGUCUUGGUAUGUUUCCCAGGCUGGUCUCAAACUCCUGGGCUCAAGUGA